CCGAUGGGCGAGGAGGGCUGGCGAGCGGGCCCAGCCUGCGCCGCCGCGCUGCCUCCCGCCAGCCGCGCCGGGCAGCGGGCGGAGCGGGGAGGUGCGGGGGGAGCCCCGGCUGCUGCGGCCGCCGCCUCCCGCCGCUCCGCCCGCGCCCCCGCGCGCCGCCGGGACCCCCGGGCCGCCGGGACCCCCGCCACGGCGCUCCCCUUCGCCCCCGGCCACAGCCCCGCGCUGCCUUAAACCGCCAGGCCAAAUUCAACGUAAAUCAGGAAAAGAGGGUGGUCUGAACGGGGAAGGCCACCGGCGGGACCCCCAGCCUUGCCUUUGCCCGUGGGUACCACGGCACACCGACCCAGGGCCACACAAACCGCUCGCAAAGGAUCAGUGAGCAGAGACCCGACCAGAGCUGCUCAAACACCUUGUGCAAAGGCUUCGGCUGGCAGGUGCCUAGUCCUUUCCUCAAAAAAGACCCUACUGAAAUAUUGCACCAGGUGAAACCUCACCCAGCUCAGGGCUGAUCCAGCAGACUCAGCAGCGACCCACCAGCCCUGGCCCUUUGCGGGAGCGAUGCACGCGGGACAUGCAGCUACUUCCAGCCAUGCUCUCCGGCCAGCAGCGGUCCUCUGGGGAUUUCCAGAGGGCUGAGAGCUCCUGCGACUUGGAAAUGGCUCUGCAGAAGUGGUGCAUGGAUAUUUUUUUCAGAAAGGGAGCCCAGCUCAGCCAAGAGACCUGCCACUGAGGAAGAUGACCUAGCGGGGAUGCUGCACUCCCCAACUCUGCAUUGGAUUUGCUAAUGGUAUCAGUAAAACACUUUAAGCACA